GAGUGCAACAGCUCUUUUACAACUUGUCUAGCAAGUUUUCCGGUCCACACUGGAAAACACUCCC
ensembl:snRNA U7 U7 small nuclear RNA